rnacentral:rRNA from 1 species
CACGUAGGGUGCGAGCGUUGUCCGGAAUUAUUGGGCGUAAAGAGCUCGUAGGCGGUUUGUCGCGUCUGCCGUGAAAGUCCGGGGCUCAACUCCGGAUCUGCGGUGGGUACGGGCAGACUAGAGUGAUGUAGGGGAGACUGGAAUUCCUGGUGUAGCGGUGAAAUGCGCAGAUAUCAGGAGGAACACCUAUUGCGAAGGCAGCUCGCUGGGACGUAACUGACGCUGAGACGCGAAAGCAUGGGGAGCGAACAGG